rnacentral:rRNA from 1 species
GAUGAACGCUGGCGGCGUGCCUAAUACAUGCAAGUCGAGCGAACAGACGAGGAGCUUGCUCCUCUGACGUUAGCGGCGGACGGGUGAGUAACACGUGGAUAACCUACCUAUAAGACUGGGAUAACUUCGGGAAACCGGAGCUAAUACCGGAUAAUAUAUUGAACCGCAUGGUUCAAUAGUGAAAGACGGUUUUGCUGUCACUUAUAGAUGGAUCCGCGCCGCAUUAGCUAGUUGGUAAGGUAACGGCUUACCAAGGCGACGAUGCGUAGCCGACCUGAGAGAGUGAUCGGCCACACUGGAACUGAGACACGGUCCAGACUCCUACGGGAGGCAGCAGUAGGGAAUCUUCCGCAAUGGGCGAAAGCCUGACGGAGCAACGCCGCGUGAGUGAUGAAGGUCUUCGGAUCGUAAAACUCUGUUAUUAGGGAAGAACAAAUGUGUAAGUAACUAUGCACGUCUUGACGGUACCUAAUCAGAAAGCCACGGCUAACUACGUG